rfam:Citrobacter sp. 30_2 cont1.23, whole genome shotgun sequence.
CGCUAUACUAGCUUCUGAAUUUACCGGCUCACUUCCACGAGCCGGUUUUCAAUGAAU